rnacentral:rRNA from 1 species
CCUCGUUCCAUGUUGCCAGCACGUUAUGGUGGGGACUCAUGGGAGACUGCCGGGGUCAACUCGGAGGAAGGUGGGGAUGACGUCAAGUCAUCAUGCCCCUUAUGUCCAGGGCUUCACGCAUGCUACAAUGGCCGGUACAAUGGGCGGCGAUACCGUGAGGUGGAGCGAAUCCCAAAAAGCCGGUCUCAGUUCGGAUCGGGGUCUGCAACUCGGCCCCGUGAAGUCGGAGUCGCUAGUAAUCGCAGAUCAGCAACGCUGCGGUGAAUACGUUCCCGGGCCUUGUACACACCGCCCGUCACGUCACGAAAGUCGGCAACACCCGAAGCCCAUGGCCCAACCCCGCAAGGGGAGGGAGUGGUCGAAGGUGGGGCUGGCGAUUGGGACAAAUUC